CGGUGUUUAACUGGCGUGAUGUGGGACGUCCUACCGGUGGGCUUAGCCUCGCGAGGGGCGGCCCAACUAAUAUCCCGUCGCGGUGCUCUUUACUGAGUGUCGAGUCGGGCCGGUACGUUUACUUUGAACAAAUUAGAGUGCUUAAAGCAGGCUAUCCUCGCCUGAAUACUGCGUGCAUGGAAUAAUGGAAUAGGACCUCGGUUCUAUUUUGUUGGUUUUCGGAACCCCGAGGUAAUGAUUAAUAGGGACAGAUGGGGGCAUUCGUAUUGCGACGUUAGAGGUGAAAUUCUCGGAUCGUCGCAAGACGGACAGAAGCGAAAGCAUUUGCCAAAAAUGUUUUCAUUAAUCAAGAACGAAAGUUAGAGGUUCGAAGGCGAUCAGAUACCGCCCUAGUUCUAACCAUAAACGAUGCCAGCUAGCGAUCCGCCGAAGUUCCUCCGAUGACUCGGCGGGCAGCUUCCGGGAAACCAAAGCUUUUGGGUUCCGGGGGAAGUAUGGUUGCAAAGCUGAAACUUAAAGGAAUUGACGGAAGGGCACCACCAGGAGUGGAGCCUGCGGCUUAAUUUGACUCAACACGGGAAACCUCACCAGGCCCAGACACCGGAAGGAUUGACAGAUUGAUAGCUCUUUCUUGAUUCGGUGGGUGGUGGUGCAUGGCCGUUCUUAGUUGGUGGAGCGAUUUGUCUGGUUAAUUCCGAUAACGAACGAGACUCUAGCCUGCUAAAUAGGCGUACCUUAUGGUAUCGCGAAGGCCCCCGGCUUCGGCCGGUGGGUUUUUACUACCAACGUACAAACAAAUCUUCUUAGAGGGACAGGCGG
rnacentral:rRNA from 1 species